UCUUCAUUAAACUUCUUCUAUCAGAGAGAUUUCAGCACACAGGACUGAUAAAGCUCCAGUGUAUCAUAUCUGUAAAGUCAUGUGACUCGUCACACCAUCAGAAUAGACAAGAAUUCACUGUGAGCUUCACACCUCAUUACAGCUAAUGGACCAAUCAAAUCAGUCCACAGCUUCAAAUCAUCCAAUCAGGUGUGAGUCUGGACCUGGUUUUGUACUGAACACACAAGUUCAUUAGAUCACUUGGUGUGAACAGGAACGAUGAUCAGACUCUUUGUCGCUCUUUGUGCUCUUUUUUCUCUCUUCACAGCUGUGAAAACUUCUGACAUCAAGGAGAUUGACGUGAUAACAGUAAAGCGUGGAGAAGAUGUAACUAUGAAGUGUAGCAUUAGCAGUGUCA